UUUACUUUAUUUUGGUGAUAAUUGUUGUAUCACUCCUGAUAACUCGGGCAUCUCAUGUCUUUCUCUUGGUGUUGGACCGGGGGCAAAUCUCUCAGGGAGGUAGCUCUUGUGGCUUUUUCAAAUGGUGUGACGAUCAGCAGCAGCCUAGGACAGCUGCUCCACUGCAAGGUGGUUCAUCACCAUAUCAAGCUGGCGCUACCCCCACCAACCAAAGCAUGAGCAAGAGCUCUUCGGGCUGCUUCAAAUGCGGGCAAGAGAACCACUGGGCGAAGGACUGCCCGAAUCAAUCUUCGGAUCCUUACUCUGACAAAGGCGGGAGGGCAUUAAGUUCAGCAACCUCAUCUGAUGGGUGUUUCAAGUGUGGUAAGGCUGGUCACUGGUCCCGUGAUUGCCCUGUUGCAAACAGUGGUGGUGGUGGUGGUGGUGCCGUCGCCAGCAAUGUCAAGUCGUCUUCUACUUUGGGCUCAUGGAACAGCAGGAGAUACUGAUAGCAGGUGCCCCUGUGAACUCAAUUGAACUGACGCGGACAUGCUGUACGAAACUUGGACAGAUGACCUUUGCCACUUGUUGCUUAGGUACGCUCUCUCGCCGAUGCCACUUGCAGACCUGCCACUAUUUAGUUCCAGCAAACGGGAUUUCCUUUUGAUAUCCUGCGUCUAUCCUGGUUGCUGUGUGACUGUCGAACCUGUACUAUCUGCUUUAGGCAUUUCCACUUUUGUGAACAAGAAAAAGCCAUUAUGCUAUGUUCACCAGCAUGCCUUGCACCUGCAGUUCAAUAUCAGCUACAUGUUCAUGUUAUCUCUUUUUCUCUCUAAAAAAACUCGAUGUUUAUGUUGCUGUUUCCUUUGAAUACUUUUUUUGAGGGUGUUCCUUUGAAUACUUGCUAUAGAUAUUUCUGGAGUUUGAGAUGGAGUUAGUAGAUAGGAUACUAUUUAAAGUUAGACCCUGGACCCUGUACUCUACAACUAAAUAAUACUAGAGUAGUAUACAGUCCCACCUAUGACAAGACUCACUCAUCAAGUGAGGCAGAGCCAUGAAAGGGGCGGGACAAUUGUUCUCUGUAGAGGAACUUAUUACGCGCACCCACUGUGCCAUACACUUAGGACCCAGCUAUUAAAGGAUAGGAACAAAUUAAGGCUGACCCUAGAGAGCGCUGCUAUCCGCUCCAGGCCACGGAAGUUGCACAUGGUUGCUAUAUGCAGCAGUAGUACGAGCUGGUCGACGCGAGGGUGGAAUCUCCAGAGAUUGGUUAGCACACAGGAGUAGUAAUCGCGGCUGUCCUGUCCUUUGGCGUGCGUGGUCCUGGGGAGCGGUGGUGGCUGGUGCCACGCCAGUUCAACUGCAGGAAUGGUUGGCGCCAUUACAUGUGCCGAUUGUUUGCCACUCAUCAAAGCCUUUGGCCGGCCAUAGUACCUGACACUACAGGUCGGUUUCCCUCAGCGAUCCCGCGGUCCCCUAUCCCCCCUAGCGCCUUGGGGCGCAGAUCUGAGAUGCCCCUCUCCCCGCCUCCACUACGAACCCAAAGCCUUGCUGGGAAAGAUUUGCUGUUUAUUUGUUCGCUGUCUAUUCAGUCGGUUGGCCCCCUCCGUUCUCCAUUUGUUGUUUGUUUGUUACGUGCACUCAGUGCGAGGGAGAGUGCUUUGGCACGGCCAGGUCUCGUUUUCCCAAUAGUCAAUGCUCUCUCUGUUGGUAGAGUUCCCUCGAGACAGAUUGCGUAGACAGCAGUAGUAGUAGCAGCAUCUUUCUGAAAGAGUAAUGGGGACUAUGAUGUCAACAAAGAAAGUUUCCCAGUCGAGCCAUCUAUCCCAGUUACACUAUAUACUAUUUGAUUUUAUCUCUCUGAAUGUGGAGAUGUCAAUAAAUAUUAGUACCGUUAUACUACGUACUACUAGCAGACGCACGGAGCUGUUUUCCUCUGCUGCAAGUAUCUCCGUACUCUUGGUAAUGAACUUUGACAGAGUAAUGUUCUUUGCUUUUACUAGUACUAGUACUUACCAAUAAUCAUCUGCCUGACAAUCUGGUCACUGUGUCUACACGUGGACUAAUUAAGUAGCAACUCCUCCUUUUUUUUUCUACAAUACUCCCUCUUUUUCUAGAUAUAAAACCUUUUAGAGAUUUCAACACUGAUGUAUGUAGACACAUUUUAUAGUGUAGAUUCACUCAUUUUGCUCCGUAAUGUAGUAUGUAUCUGAAUCUUUAAAAAGUCUUAUAUUUAGAAACGGAGGGAGUAACUCCCUGUGCACCGGUUUCAUUGAUCAACAACAGCAGCCUCCUUGUAAAAAGAAUUAGCAACUGAGUAGCAACUCCUCUUUUGACAGAGUGGUAACAAAUGUUCUUUGCUUUUACUUUACUAGUUGUAGUAGUAGUCACCAAUAAUCAUCUGCCUGACAACCUGGUCACUGUGUCUACACGUGGAGUAAUUGUGUAGCAACUCUUUUCUUCUUCUCUUCUUCUCUUCUUCUGAUAACUCUCUCUGCACGGGUUUCAUUGAGCAACAGCAGCCUGUGUAUGUGUAAAAAGAAAAGGGUCAGCGGUUGGUUAUCUAGGUCAGCCAGCCAGACACUCCAUCCUGCAAUGCCCAAGCUGACGCCUCCGUCUGGCGGGGAUGUGAGUACGCUAUACGGAGGCCUCCAGCAUCGUAUUUUUACCCCAUGGCGCCAAGCAAGCGAAGCGUCCAGGGCGCAGCCCCGUUGCCCAUGCCAUGUCCGGUUGGGCACCACCACCUUGUCGUCGUCGUCCUCCCCGCUGCCAUGCCACAGGAAAAAAGGACCACCUGGAACUAGAGCGAGAAAAUGGUAGCCAUGGAGCGCAACGGGACAAACCCGGUGGGCCCCGCCGCCCAUAAACUCCCCCUCCUCCGCUUGCCGGGGCUUCCGCCAGUGGGUCACUUCCGCCACCGUCCCUCUCAGUCUCAGCCCCGCCUCUGCCUCUUGCACCAACUAGCCCUGCCCAGCCGCGCAAGAUGCCGUCCCGGUUCUUCUGCGUGUCCCAGGGCACACGGCGUCCCGCUCCUCCGACGUGUCUCUUCCCCAUUGGCUGCCUCCCGUGUUGCCUGCGCCGCUCUGCCCACCCCAGGCCAGAGGGCCUCCUCGCCCACUAGGCCACAGACGCGGCUCGUCUCGCUCUCCGAGGGGGUGUUUGGUUUAGUCACUUUUAGUCCCAGAGACUAGCUAAAAAGUCCCUGGGAACCAAAUAUGAGGGACUUUUUUUACAGGAACUAGAAAAAAAUUCUACUGGAGAGUCUUUUUUAUUAGUCCCUGUGACUAGAAAUAUCACAUCACUCCGUGCGGUGCGAGCUCGUAAAUAUCUCGUCGCAUCCAUCGCUGCCGGGCUGGGUGGUGGUGAUGCGUGUCUGUCCCUCCAUCGACGAGCUCGUACUACCGCCGGACUGUACCCGCGUCUUGUUCUGUCUCGCUUUCUGGCUUUUCGCGCGUCGCUUCGUGUUUAGUUACGCGGUGCUCGGGGCAUCCACUGUGCAUGCGGCCCCACCCGUGUGGCGCUCUCUCUCUCUCGCCGCGCGGUAGAUGGAUGGGUGAUCAAUUAUGCGACGUUGCUACUAGUGGUAGUGUGGCUUUUACUACAUUUGUUGUUUGAUGUGAUGAUGGGUAGUAGUGGUAGUAGUCGCCAUGUUCAUAUGGGGGCGGCCACGGCCAGUGCCGCUAGCUAGCCUUUCCGUCUCAUCUUUUCGACCCGGAUGAGGUAACUCGUUUGUUUCCCGGCCAUGUCUCGCUUCUCCCUCCCUCACCGUGCGUGCUGAUUGGGGUUAGUAGGUCACGUCGCUAGUCUUUUCCUCUCCCUCUCCGUCGACUUUUCUUUGCCCGGACUCCAGCUCUUCUGCCAUUUUUUCUUGCUUCUCACAGUGCGUGCGUAGCGCGGCCUACGAGCUGCCGGUGAUGAACUGACGAUGGACAAGUCCUACUACUUUGAAAUCGGCAGAGCGAGAGAGAGGGAGAGUAUUCACAAGAACCUGCCAGUUUCUUUUCACCGUAACAAUACAGUUCACGUAUCCCGAGCAUGGAGUAACUAGCUGUGAAGGAGACAAUGGGAGUGAGUUAGUUUAUUACGGACAACAAGUUCCAAGGACCAGUUGAGCCAGUGAGACGUGAGGUGAGGGUGAGACGGCCAGACGGGCCUGGUUACACUCUCUCCACGUCCACUUUCCGGAACGCCAAAACCAAAAUUCGCCCAUACACAAGAAGAAAUUCACAUUCACUUUGAUGAGUUGGAAACCUGUCCUUUCCGGACGGAAACUCGACGGGCGCGUCCCUGUUUUGGACAAAAGCGUGAGGCGGACGUGACAGCGCGACGGAUCCAACCAGAUCUCUCUGAGGUGAGGCGAGGGUGAGAAAUAAAAAAUCGUGUCGCUGCUGCACCAGCUGCCCUUGUUUUUUCCUCUGUCACGGUUCAAGGGGGUAGCAAGCAACCGCAGACCGGGUCGCCGCGGUGACACUCACUAGUUUAGUUUAAUAUAGGAGCUGCUACAUCUGGUACAUGUGACCAUCGCUGUUUAGGGUGGGAAAAGUGGUGGUGUCAAUGGCUUGAAACUGGACUAGACGUUGGUUCCUUCUCUAGAAGUGGAAAGUGGCACAUGGUCUGCUGGACUGCAUGCAGCCACCGAUGAUAAAUAAAUACUAUUGCUACUAUAUUACUUUGCCGGCCAUGUUCCGCAACAGAGAUAAAUACGUACGGUAUGCUUUAUCUACUAGUAAUUCGUUGCUCUCUAUAUACGUAUAGUUUUUAAGUUGCUCUAUUUGUAAUGCGCUUUGCGGAGACGUACAAGUACGUAUACUUGCUCUCCAAACCAACUCCUGAACUGGCUGAGCACGCAGGUUGGCGGACUUGUUUGUCAGUGUCUUCAUUACCUGAUGUUAACGAACAGUACGGGGUCCUUCUUCUUUUUAUGAGUUCCGUACCUAAUCGUUCAGCAGCUAGCAGAAGAAAGGUCGGUGAGUGAGCCAGAUGGUAGUGCUAGUAGUAGUAAAUCCCAUUUUAAUUCCUGCAUUCCGGUUUGAGCGAUGGGUGCCGAGAACUCCAAAUAUGGCACGAAACGGAUGGCCCGAAGGGUGCCACACGGAGAGGCGCUUUCCAAUCACGCAGCCUUUCCUCCGUCCGUCCUGGCUCCUGGCUACGUACUCCUGUGUCCUGCCGCGGCGGCAGCGUUGCUCCUGUAGCUGGACUACACACCUCACGGAGCGCUACAGUGGUAAUGGCGUGUUGCGUGAAAGCAGUGCGCGCGCAGCCCCCCAGUGGCGCGCCACCAUGUGGCCGCGGCCUCCCAUGGCCGCCCAAUCCCACUUACGCCGGGGCCCCGCCCACUGGGCGCGAGCAUAUAUUCGCGUCACCACCGUCGCGACGGACGAGCCACCACCGGCCGGAGCCAACCAGUUGCUUGCUGGCCUCCUUUUCCAAGUCCUUUCUUUUCUCCCACUCGUGUGUGUGUGUGUGUAUGUGUCUGUGGUACCGUAAACAGAAUCCCACUACAUCUCCUUUGAUAACCAUGGCAUUUGUGGUACUACAGUUUAGCAUUUCCAAGUGAGAGUCGUAGGGCUGAGAGGCUGCCACUCAACUUGACAAGCAUAAUAAUUUAUCAGCAGCGGAAAGGUGGAAAAAGAAACCAAAGGAAAGGAAAUGGCGCACUCAGCCAGCCCGCCACAGUAGAGUAGCCCCCCCAUCAGUUAGCCAAACUGCUGAACUGCUGCUGCUACUCCACUUCUUCUCCUGCGUCCGUUGCCAUAUAUAGAAAAACAAACCAUCGCCUUUCUCCUGGGCCGAACCAUACAUACCACUCCAGUGCACGCACGCUCGCUUCCCCCGACCUCCCUUCCUCGCUCCCCCUUUGUGGAUAUAAUCAUAUCCUUUCCCACGACCUUGUUUAAUCGCCCACAAAUCCAACGCCGCCGCCGCCACAUGGACAUGGACUCGCCCCCUGUGCCUGUGCCCAUGCCGCCGUCCAAGCCGGCCGACCUCUCGCUCACGCUGGCGCCGGCCGCGCAGUCCGUCGCCGAGGCUGACGGGGGAGCCGGGGCGGGCGGCGACGGCGCGUGCGUCGACGGCAAGGACGUGCGCCUCUUCCCCUGCCUCUUCUGCAACAAGAAGUUCCUCAAGUCGCAGGCGCUCGGCGGCCACCAGAACGCGCACAAGAAGGAGCGCAGCAUCGGCUGGAACCCCUACUUCUACAUGCCGCCCGCCUCCUCAGCGCACCUCCACGCCAAUGCCGCACCGCCCAACUCCUCCGGCGCCACGGCCUCGGGGGCCUACGCCGGCUCUGGCGCUGGCGGCGCGGCGCACGCGUACGCCAGCCGUGCCUACGCGGCCUUGCCCACCACGUUCCCAAUCGCCUCCCACAGCUCCAUCAUGGUCGGCUCCGACCGGCUCCAGUACUACGCGCCGCCGCAGGGAGCGUCGGCGUCCUCGGCGGCGGCGGGCGAGCUGUACAGCAGCGGCAUGCAGCAGGUGUCCCGCUUCGCCGCCGCGCACCAGCAGCAGCUCCUGGCCGUCAGCAGCAGCAGCAGCGAGCGCGCGAUGAUGGCCGCGGCCGAGCAGCCCGGCGCCGGGCGCGACGAGCUGAUCGACAUGCUCAACUGGAGGCGGGGCUGCCACGGCCCGACCGCCUCGGCGGCCGCCACCACCCCCUCGCCGGCCAGCACCACCACCACGCUCACCUCCGGAGGCGGCAGCAACUACAACAACGGCGAGGAGGCCGAGGAGCUGGACCUCAACUUGAGCCUGUAGCAGCCAGCAGCGGUGAGCUCGCCGGCCGGCGCUGCCUCCAAUCCAAGUCCAAGUCCAAGACCAAGACAAGGUUAAUCCAUGGCCACGUAGUACCUCUACCCUUCUACCACUCCUAUUCGCCCGGCUAUUCAUGUCCCCUACCACCCUUCAGCACGACGUACGUACGUACCGCCCGCCCGCCCGCCCGCCCGCCCGCCAAGAUUAGCUGUUUUUAAUUAGAGAAGAAGAAGACGAAGAUGUUAAUUAAUUAAUUAGUUCCUCGAUCGGCCCUCCUUCAGCCAGUCUUUUGUACUAUGUUAAUGCUAGCGGUGAGCUGUGCUCCUUGUAAUCGUGCUCUUGAAUUUCACCCCCUGUUCGUCUGUUCAUCUUUUCUUAGCUUCUUUUCCCGGAUCGAAAUGGAAGAUGGAAUCGGCGCCAGCCACGGUGCGGCUCGUCGACAGUUGGGCACAGUGCGGGCGGGCGGGCGGCGUCGACAUGGCCGCCGUGGUUAAUGAAUGUUUGGCAUCUGCGGCGCAGCCGCAUCUGCCUAUCAAUCUAUCUUGGAUUUGGUGCUCUUUUGCCUUUGCUUAUUAUAUUAUUAUUGGUAAUUUUUUAUGGGCUCGAGUGAAGGCCCUCCUCCUACCUUUCAUCAUCACCGAUCCAGCUAGUAAUGGUAGUCGGAACCUCAACGCACGUACUCUACUCUAGUAAUAGUGCUACCAGUGUGAUGCUGCAGUGACGAACUGACCAAGGGUGGAAACUUUGUGUAGUCCAUCGGGUCGAACGUGUCGAAUCUGGCGUGGAGAUAUCAGCUGUUUCGACGAGGGAAUCAUUCGUUCUUUCGGGGGGUGGGGUGGGGUGGGGUGGAACGAACUGGGCCGGCCGGCCGACGGAGUCAGGUCGGGUCACGCACCCGCGGGACAAGCCGAUGCCGCCCAAUGGCAAUGGCAUCGCCAUCGCAGCGAGAUUCGUUGCUGGACGGACUGGACUGGAUGUGCAUGCGCACUGUGCCCCGUGCGCGCGGGGACGGGAGAUGGUCCAGAGCGCAGAGCAGAGCAGUUCAUUCGCUGGCUGGAAGCCGCAACGCUUGGGUGCGUCGAGCGGGCGUACGCGGGGCGCGGGGCAGCGGAGGGGGACAGUGGGGAGCCCGACGGCUGCCUUUUUGGUUCUUUUUCAUGGCCGGUCCCGUCUGUCGCCGUCGCGCAUCAGUCGCCCGCCCGGACCCUCGUUUUUCUUUUCUUUUUACCGGCUGGUAGAUAGAUAGAUACUCCCGUAUGUAUGUACUACCAGCGUCCAACCAAAAUGAGAUCGCAUGGCAUAUAUACCUCCGGGGAAAAACGUGUUCUACGGAAUACGAUUCGAAAGCUGUAUUUAUACUAUAACAAUAUGACCUGUCGAACGGAAAUGAUUGUCGUUUAUGCGCCAACUUGUAAUCGGAAGUUCGGAACUUAGGAUAUUUUUUCUAUUCUAAACGAUUGUUUGAGGGGGAGAUAAUGAGAUAGGGUGUUAAAAUGAGACUAGCCCUGGACGCUGGGGGAGUGUGUGUGUUUUUUUAGCAAAAGAAGGGCUUCCCCUUCCGGUUUUCAUUAAGGAAAACCAUGAAAACCAAUAGUUUGAGCUACAAGCACCAGUCCACAAACUACCAUAAGCUACUCCAUCCGUUCCAUAAUGUAGUGACUAUAUAUUUUUUCUAAAAGUCAAACAUUACAAACUUUGAUCGUAUUUAUAGAGAAAAAUAGGUACAUCUACAGUACCAAAUGCACAUCAUUGGAUAUACCAUGAGUUAUAUUUCCGUAAUGUACAUGUUUGGUGUGUAGAUGUAGACGGUUUUCUCAAUAAACUUGGUCAAAGUUGGUAAAGUUAGACUUUAAAAAAAAAAAUAUGCACUACAUUGUGGAAUGGAAGGAGUACCAUACUACUAGAAGACCCAAGAUAAAAGCAAACAACUCCUUAGGCGCACUCCCGGACAUACCGAAAAAUGUCACCAUUUGAAACCAAAGCCCCACUCCCAGGAGGGGGAAGGGAACCAACACAACCACAUUAAAAAAAAGUACAGGAACAAAUUAAAAGGGAUAAGGGAUAUAACCCCAAAAGUACUAACGAUCUAAAAAUCACCACCACGACUACUGCAACUAAAAGAAGAAGCACGACGCAUCCAGCAGCCAGCAUCAAGCAAGGCCUACAACAGCUCCUCACCCUUCCAGCCUUGGCACGUUGUACCUCCAUCCUUGCGAAGCUUUAUACACAUCACUUGCUACAUGUUCUAGUAGCCUUGUUCCUAAGUCCAACACCCUUUUGUUUUGUUUCUUUGUCUGCAAAAUAGACCAAUCAGGUAUACAAUAAUUGAUUAACUGAAUCCGCGUCAUGGGAUCAUUAAUUAUCUUGUUAUCAAAGAUAAUCCCAUUUCUACAUUUCCAAAUUGUCGAAAACAUAGCAGCCACACCAAUCAUGACUAAUUUUGUGUCCCCUUUCUUAAAUGUUUUGAGCCACCUCCCAAAGCAAUCUUCAAUGGAAGAGGGAGUAGAUUUCAAACCGAAAGUACAUUUAAGCAAGCUCAUUAGUGAAGCAACAAAACAAGAGAAAAAUAAGUGAUUCAAUGUUUCAUUUUUACCACAAAACACACAUUCCUUGGGCCCUCUCCAAUCCCUUUUUCUAUUUACCAAGCACAAAAACACUUUGAUGUUGGCAAGCACUUUCACCUUCCACAAAUUUUUUUGUGAAAAGUUACAGUCUUCAGUGACCAUUUUCCUAUACAAGGAUUUAACGAAAAAAUUCUAUCUCUGCCACUCCCCAUUUCAACAUCUACACAACUGUAUUUUAGGAUAUUCCACAGUUCUAGGGUUUCUCCUGUAGAGUUCUUCUAAAUCUGAAACCUCACCAUCCUUUCUGGAUGGCCUCGGCAAUUGUGAUGUUAUGAUCAAAACACAGAUCAUGUAACCUAGGAUAAUCAUCUUUUAAUGCAUUAUCAUCAACCCAGAUACCUUCUCAGAAUCUAGUGUUUUUACCAUCACCCAGUUUUUUCUUGGCAUAUUUGUAAAAGAUGUCUUCCACUUUCAAAAGACUGGACCAAAAUUGGGAAUCCCUAAUCUUUUUCUUAACUCUAGAAAUGCAGCCAUCAAGCACAUAUUUUCCUAGUAGAACAGAUUGCCAAAGCCCUUCAUCGGUUUCCAAUUUUCAAAAACAUUUAACUAACAGAGCUUUGUUCAUGAUAUCCAAAUUAAGAAUUCCCAGCCCCGUCCCCCCAAAGUCUUUAGGGAGGCAACAAUUCUUCCAGUUAACUACUACAUCCGUGCCAUAAUAUAAGAGCAUUUUUUACACUAGUGGGACAAUUCUUCUAAUUAACAAUUCUUCCAGCUCUUAUAUUAUGAGAGACGGAGGGAGCAGGUGAUAUUUCUUCUUAUCUUCAUCUUCUUGCCAAACCAAUCCGGCAGUAUAAAAAUAUGCUUUCUUCAUAAUUGCCACUGGCAUGGGAUAAAAAGACAUCAUAAAGAGAGGUAUGUUGGUCAAACAUGCUUGGACCAAAGUAAUUCCCCCUGCGAUGGACCCCCAAAGCCUCCCCUGCCAACAGCCACAUGUCUUCUCAAUUUUCUCUACCACUCCUCCCCAAUAUUUUUUCGUGAUCCUAGUAUCAGAAGCAUGCAUACCCAGAUAUUUCAUAGGUAAUUCUCCCAUUUUGCAUGUGAAAAAUUCUUGAUAUGCCUCUUUUUUUCUCAGUAGCCACCCCCCCCCCAAAAGAAUGAUCUCACUUUUAUGUAAAUUAAUUUUUAACCCUGACAUUUGUUCAAAGGCACAUAAAAUAAAUUUCAGGUUUUUAGCACUCUCGACAUCAUAUUGCAACAACAAAAUUGUGUCAUCUGCAUAUUGCAACAUGUUAUAACACCUUUAGUAACAUUAUUCCCUAGCACACCUUUUACUAUAUCAUUUUCUCUAGCAUUGUUCAUCAUAACAACAAGAGCAUCAUCGUCCUGUUUUUCGUAUUAUUUCAUCCUGGAAUCAUGUGUUUGCCUUACAUCAAAGUAGUGAUUGUCAGUAUCAUGCACGAAUGAGUUCCAAAGAGUGAAUUUUAUUGCUUUUUCUUGUCGGUUUUACUUGACAAUUCAAAAUCAAUAAAACGGAAGGAAGUUAGCAAGGUAGCGGAUGAUGGUGCUCCUUCCAAACUGAGAGCCUCUACAGAUUCUACUCCUCCAUCCCCCCAAGAUGAUUUCCAAGACAACACAUGCAUAGACACUCAACGUAGUUGUGUUGAUGAUGAGCACGUCUCCCCUAGUGCACCAUCACAAGUGCUCCCUCUAACUUGGCACUGUUAUAUGUGGUUGCAUGUUAUGUAUGAUGUCUAUUGUAUUGCUAAUUUUGUUGAAUUUCAUCUGCUUACUUUACACAUUAUACUUGUGAAUAAGACAUGUGUUCCUGUUUCUAGAACAUACAAUAUCUGUCUAUCACACCAUGUUCUUACAUCAAAGUACUACUGUUGUGUAACCUGCAACAUCAGGGAUAAUGCUCGAUAGGUUAACUAAAUCUAGAGGAGGAAGAAUGGAGAUCCAUUUUGAGGCAGGUUUAAAAAGGCCACGUGAUGCUACAGAGUCAGGCAAGUUAGUAUCAGAGGCAGCGGUUGCUGUUAGAUGUCAUGUACGUAUCCUCCCAACAUGGAUUCAGUACAGGAAUGACAAAGACGAAACCCAGUUCAACACCUUCCUCGACCAUUUAUUUGUAAGUAUGGUUAUGUAUGGAAACUAGUAAUAUCGUCUUGCUCUGUCCAAUACUUUCUAGGUUGCAGAUAAUGAGACUCCCAUAAUUUUCAACAGAUAAGGUUCAAGUUGGAUAGCCAAGAUGAUGCAACCAGACAAGCUUGCACCCAUGUUUUCAAGUCUGCUCUGCGACAGUAUCGGUAUAACUUGAGGAAAACUCACUUUGAAGGCAAGGCUAACAGUGAACUUGCCCAAACAUCUCAAGUGGAAAAUAUAUCGGAUGAAGACUGGAGAGGCCUCGUUAAACACUGGUCCGAUCCGAAGUAUCAGGUACAUUAUAUAUAUAUGUGAUCAGAUCACAUGUUGAAGUCCUAUUUACGCAUGUGACACACAAAUCUAUCUUCUUGUAGGUGAACUGUUCAAAGAACAAGGCCAACCGUACGAAAGUGAAAUUCCAACAGACGACAGGAUCUCGUAGCUAUAUUGCACACUGCGAGGCUCUUGUAAUUAGCUGCCGUUUCACUCUUUUCGCUGUACCAUAUUAUCAGAUCUAUAUUGACUUGUUCCAAAUGCAGAGGAAAUCCCGCAAGGACCAAAGAGUACCUGAACCAAAUGCUGUGGAAAUCUUCGAGGACUGUCACACCAGCAAGACGAAGGGCAUAACUACACCAGUCAAAGCCGCUGUUGUAAGUCCUUAAUCCUCGGGCCUUUUAACUACUACUUACUCUGACUCGUGCCUUGAACUGCAUUGUUUGCAGCCAAUGUCUAUUACUCUUUUCAAUUUUAUACAUAAUUGUCUUAGCGUACCAUUGCACCUUACAAGGUUUAAAAGAGAGGAGUGAUGUUCCAUUGAUCUUGACCUGUAAUCUAGUUUCGUGCUGGACUUGCCCACACAACGUUACAAUUGCCUGUUUGUCUGUUCUCAGUUGUUUUGUGAUAUGAAUGAUGUCAUAUUAUGCUUACCGUAUUAUAAACUUUGUCUCUUUAUCCUUAGCUAUCAAUACAAUGUGAAGAAAUAGACAAUACAUUAGCCAUGGUACAUGGUCAUAUGUUUGGAACCUGAUUUUAUUAUGUACUUUGCAGUAAAAUACAACUAAUAUUUUAUAUUAUGUUUGGAACCUGUAUAUAGACCAAAGCUAUUUAGUUUGGUUUUGCUGCCUCCUUAAUAUCUUCUGUUGUGGUACUACUAAUGUAAAAACUCAACUUUUCAGCAAGCUAUGGAAAAAAUGGUGGAACCGCCACCUUUUGAAGGUGGCGAGGAACCUAUAACCGCAAUGUCAGCUCUUGCCGCAGUGGGUCAGUACCUGUCCACUAACAGUGCCAAAAGCACGUUCCUGCGUAAUACUGGGUUGAUUGUUAAGGCAAUCUCGUUGAAAUUGCCUCAUGAUCAAGAUAUGCAAGCUCAAAAUAAUGUUAUAUCUGCGCUCUAGACACAAGUCCGUUCCCUAACAGAGACGCUUUGUGAAACAAGGACAAACAUUGUUUGAUGUCAUCAAGAUAUGCAUGGUUUUGAAACCAGACUAUCAGACAUUUGCUAUGUUGUUCAGGAGCCUAGGAGAAAUGAAGGCAAAGGUUAAUGGGCCAGAAUAUAGGAUGGGGUGGAAACGGCACAACGGGUUAACAAGCCAGGAACGGGCCGACUCUUGCCACGGGCCGAAUUUGGCCCAUUAGGGGAACUGGCCAGUAACGGGCCGGAAGUAAUCGAGGGCCGGAAAGGAGCCCAAGAACGUAUGGGCCGUCAGUAGGCCGAAAGCUAACACGGGCUGGAAACGGCCUGUCGUGGAUCUAAGACUGACAGUAGAAUGGGGGGUAGGUAUGAGGAGGCAAGAUCCUAGCUAUGGCGAAGUUGUACACACGGGUUUUACGAGUUCAGGCCCUUCGCAAAGGAAGUAAUAGCCCUACGUCUCGGUGCCCGGAGGCGGUCGACUGGAUUAUGCGUGUGUGUGUGUGUGUGUUACAGGGGGUGCGGACCCUUGUCCCAGAGGAGGGGGUGGCUUAUAUAGAGUGCGCCAGGACCCCAGCCCCCUCCGUUACAUAGGGUUCAAUGUAAAUAAAGACGAGGCGUUACUGGUAACGCCAGCCUUAAAUGCCUUAAAGAUUACAGAGUGAACGCUCGUCCGUUGCCGUUCCAGAUGACUCUUGGUCUUCAAUAGGUCGAGUGGAUUCUUGUAUGGUCGAGUGGUCGAGUGACCUCAGGAAGGAGGGGUCUCCGAGUAGCUAGUAGGUCGAGAGGAUUGCACUCGACACCUUUGUUGGGCCCUCCCUGUUGUCUCUUGAGCCUCUUUGCUUCUAGGACAGUGAUCCUGGAUAGGGCGUAUAGGUCAGGCCUAUGACCCUACCCCAGGUCUAUGUCAUCAUCAUUAGCCCCCGAAUGGAUUGAGGUCCGAGUGAAAAGAAGGUUGAAGUUGAUCUUGCUUUGACUCUUAUGUUUCACAACAUUUUUGAACGGAGGCCUGUGUUGGAACUUCGGCUUCGUUUUAGUCGCCUUGAUCGAUUCAGAAAUUGCCGACUGGAUUUAUAACGUCAUCCGUCGAGUGUUAUUUUUGACGCGAUUGAUUACGGCGUAUCCCGGAUUUCACGGGAUUCGAAAUUUCGGGGAAGCGCGCGGGGCGGAGCGCGCCGUGGUAAGCGGGGUGGAUAAACAGGGAUGUUUCGAUUUCUGUGCCACCUUUUUCGCCACGUAUCCCGCGCGUGACUGUUGAGGGAUUUGACAGGAUCGCCCGGGCCCACGCGUCAGCCACUCGAAAGUGGGCCUUUAAAAGUGAUGAGUGUCGGUGUCAUAACCGGCGGAUCUCGGGUAGGGGGUCCCGAACUGUGUGUCUAAGGCGGAUGGUAACAGGAGGCGGGGGACACAAUGUUUACCCAGGUUCGGGCCCUCUCGAUGGAGGUAAUACCCUACUUCCUGCUUGAUUGAUCUUGAUGAUAUGAGUAUUACAAGAGUUGAUCUACCACGAGAUCGUAGAGGCUAAACCCUAGAAGCUAGCCUAUGAUUAUGAUUGUUGUUCUACGGACUAAACCCUCCGGUUUAUAUAGACACCGGAGGGGGCUAGGGUUACACAGAGUCGGUUACAAGGGAGGAGAUCUAAAUAUCCGAAUUGCCAAGCUUGCCUUCCACGCAAAGGAGAGUGCCACCCGGACACGAGACGAAGUCUUCAAUCUUGUAUCUUCAUAGUCCAACAGUCCGGCCAAAGUGUAUAGUCCGGCUGUCCGAGGACCCCCUAAUCCAGGACUCCCUCAGUAGCCCCUGAACCAGGCUUCAAUGACGAUGAGUCCGGCGCGCAGAUUGUCUUCGGCAUUGCAAGGUGGGUUCUUCCUCCGAACACUCCAUGGAAGAUUUUGAACACAAGGAUCGUGUCCGGCUCUGCAAAACAAAUUCCACAUACCACCGUAGAGAGUAUAAUAUCCCACAAAUCUAAUCUGCCGACAAAUUUCAUAGCGUGACAUCACGCCACGGCCCGGUCAUUAUUCGAACUGUUUUUCUCAACCAGCUACUGCACAUAUUGCGAGGCGGUUUUAUUGGCACGUCUUGUCGAAGCAGAGAUCGUGUCCCCUUACCACGGGAUUCUCAUCAAUACGGGUGUGGGUAACCCAACUGCGCCGUCAAUCACGGCGCUUGGGGAAUAAGCGAGUUUACCAGGCAAGUGGGGAGGCGCAGAAUCCCUGCUGCCUUUAUAAGGGGAUAAGGACUCCCUUUUGCACCCACGCUUUCUUCUUCCUGAUCCAUUCCCCUUCGCUCGAGCUCCAGCGCCCGAGCGUUCGUCUUCUCUGCCCACAAAGGUCUUCCAAAAAUGUCCGGAUCUGGGGCAGGAGGCAAGUGGAUGGCCUCUACCGUCCAGGAGAAGGAUAUCAAAAAGCUUCGAGAGGCCGGGUAUCUGGCCAAGAAAAUCAGCCACCGUCUCCCGACGGCGGGACAGAUCGUUCCUACUCCGGAACCCCACGAGAGGGUUGUAUUCCUCCCUCAUUUUGUCCGCGGGCUAGGGUUUCCCCUCCACCCGUUCGUUCGCGGCAUCAUGUAUUAUUAUGGGAUCGAUUUUCACGAUCUAUCCCCCAAUUCCUUCCUCAACAUCUCGACAUUCAUCGUCGUGUGCGAGGAUUUUCUCCGCAUCUCGCCACACUUCGGCUUAUGGCUGAAGAUCUUUAAUGUGAAGCCCAAGGUAGUGAGUGGCGAGCACGCCGAGUGCGAGGGCGCUAUGGUGAGCAAGAUGCCCAACGUCACAUGGCCAACAGGCACUUUUAAUGAUUCCGUCAAAGAGUGGCAAUAGCAGUGGUUUUACAUCACUGAGCCGCGCGGCACGGAAUGGGCCGCUGCUCCCGAGUUCCGAUCCGGAGCCCCUCUGCGGCUUACGUCCUGGCCUAAGAAGGGCCUAAACUGGUCUUCGUCCGACGAACUGUCGGUGCUCCAGACGCGCGUUAAGGAUAUGGAAGACAAGAAUAUCGAACUUGUCAAUGUAGUUCAGGUGAUGUUAGUUCACCGGAUCCGGCCUUGUCAACACCGGUCUUGCAAUUUAUGGGAAUUCGAUCCGGCCAAGCACCAGACCCUGCGAGAGCUCUUUGGCUCCUCGCACAAAGACAUCUGGAAGGUGCUUUUCAAGUCCGGCAAAUCAUGGCCAGACUCGGCCGACGACCGCGGGUACCAACUGUCCCGCCCUGCAAGCUCGGUAAGUCAUUAUACGUUUUAUCCGCAUAACCCAAGGGAAAUGAUUAAUGUGUUUUCCACAACUCUCCUAGGGCUGGACGAAGAAGGUGCGGCGGAUCCACCGUCCGGCCCCGCUGCCCGAAGAACCGGCCGGCCCACUUCUGUCGAAGAUGCUGGUCCCGACGCCUUACAAGGCGCCGAAGAAGAAGGCCGAGAGGGAGGCCAAAAAGACCCGGGGCGGCCUUCGUCGCCGCGGCACAUCGGACACGAUAUCCAAAGGCUCCAACGCCCGUUCUGCCUCCAAAGAGGACGAGGAGGAGGAGGAAGACGAAUCCCCAGCGGGGGGAAGAAAGAAGAGGACGGCCUCCAUACACUUGGAGGCUGAGUCGCCUAAAAGGGGAAAAAACCCUCUUCCGGAAGAGUCCACUGCCGCCGCCGACAGUAGCCCGGAGUGGGAUCCCAGGGCCCAGCCCCUGGUGAACUCGUGAGUAUAUAAAAUCCGAACACGUUUAUGCGCCCAGACUCAUCAUGGCAUAAUAUUUUAACCUGAGCCAUUUUUUUUGUAGUCUGGCGAGGUCCUGCACCGAACAAUCCUCGUCAGAGGAUUUGCUGAGCUCGGAUGCUAUGGAGAGCGGGAUGCCCCCAAGGGCCCCUUCCCCCAAAUACAUGAAUAACACCGAAGCUUCGUCCCAGGAGGACCCCGGCCAAGGAGGGGAGGAAAAGAUCGUGAAGGCGGCGCCUGGAGGUCAAACUUCAGAGGCCGGAGACAUGGGGGAAAAGAUUCCCAUGGGAGUCGACGGCGGGGGCCAUCUUGAAUUUGGCCCCCAGCCGGAUGCAGUUCCGGAGACCAAUACGGCUCCAGAAUCAAGCAGGCGGCCUUCCUCGGCUGGAGGGGGCGUGCCUGUUCCACCGGCAACCUCUGUCCAUCUAGAGGUGCCGGAUGCUUUGUUGGCGGCGCUGAAGAGCGCCUCCAUCGUCGAUGAACACCGUGCCCUUAUGGGUGCGGUGAUUGAGAAGAUUCAGUCUGCUGAGAGUGGACUGAAUGAAGCCUGUAUCAGCCUUAUAAGAGGCUUUGAGGUAUGUUUUAUGAGGUUUGAAGAGUGUCAUAGUAUGGAUAGUAGCCCCUGAUACACUGUUCGGUGAAAGAAAGAACCGGACAGAGGAUCAAAUUUAUGUUCGUAGGAAGACUCACUUGAUGACAUCUAUCUCUCUUCUUUUGUAAGCAGGCGUCUGUAGCGGUUGCUGCCUCUCGUACUGUGGAGGUCUCCGGACUGAAUCAAAGUCUGGAGCGGGCCAAAGAAGAACUUGGCCAGUUGAAAAGGCAGUUGGAAGAUAAACAAGGUAUGCGCAAGCCUUGUUCGCGUUCAGUGCGAAAUAAUUUCCAGUAUGAUAAAAUAUGUGUCAUAAUUUGCGCCAGGGGUGAUGACCGAAGUCGAGGCUCUGAAGAAGGCUGUUGCCGAGGCCGGGGAAAAGGCAGCCGCAGAGCAGGCUCUUCGUGAGAAGCACGAGGCCAGGGUUAUGGAAGCUGAGCAAGAGCUUCAAGAGGCCGUGAAGAAGUGCGAGACCUUGGAGCAGAGUUUAACAGAGAAAGAAUCUGAACUCACCAGGGCUCAUCAAGCCGCGUGCGAUGCCCGGGGGGAAACCCAAGGCGCCCUGCAGGAGAUCCAAGAGGCGAGGAAGAUCGCGGCGGGUAAGGAUUUUUCCAUGUAAAGGAAGUAUUUGAGGAGAAAAUCAUGUUUCUAAUUUUGAGUUCGGAUUUCUCGAGGGGUAUUUGCGGAACUGCCCCGCAGCAUAUCGGAUGCCGCCCAAUUCUACCGAGCCGAAGAAAGGAACACUGCGGAUAAGCUCUUCUGGUCGCAGUAUCUAGCACCGAAUUAUCCGGUGCCUUUUGCCGAUCAACUGAAACAGCUGAUCGAACUGCAUAGAGCGGCCAAACUAGCCAUGAAGGAUUUGAUAUCCGGCUAUGGCCCCCCGAGCCGAUUCCAAGCAGCUACUUCGGGCUCGUGAAGCGGCUGGUGAGUGCCUGCCCUCGACUUGACGUCAUCAAGCGGUCGGUCUGUAUAGAGGGUGCGCGAAUGGCCUUCGCCCGCGCAAAGGUGCACUGGGGUAAGAUGGAUGCUGAAAAGCUGAUGACCGAGGGACCGCCAGAGGGAAAGGAGCACCGCAAGCCCAAGUUAUAUUAUGAAAGUGUCCUGAAAGGAUCCUGCCUUGCGGCGGAGCAAUGCAUCAAGGACAUUAUGUUUCCAUGAAUACAAUCAUGUUGUCCUUUGUAAUGUUGAACAAGGUCAUUUCUAUUAUUUAUUGCCUGUUAUAUAAAAGUUUAUCCUCAUGUGCGGCCGUUUUAUAUAUCAAUCUUGAGAGUUGGCCAGGCGUCGGCUUCUGCCCCCACGUAGGAAGUACGGGGGUGUUCGGGAUAAACCUGAUCACUCUUUAUCCCAGUUUUGGGUCCUUCGAAGGAGGUGUUUAGCACAACGAACCAGGCAAUCAGACUAUAGGGCUUUAUCACUCUCACUUAGCCAUAGGAGCUUUAGAAAAGGAAGGUAGGCGCAGCCCCUGGUGUUCGGAAGACCGUACGAGGGGCUCUAUAAGCACUUGAUUGGAAGAAAAACCGAUCCAUCGCACACUGCACUGGUUAUGGCAUUAUGCGGGAGAAAUCCUUAAAGAUUUUACAACCUCUCGAACAGCUGACCAGCUCUCGCCGUAUCAUGACAGUCAGUUUUCGGCUUCUCUACUGAGGUGCUCGUCCGGAAGAACCGGGACACAAUCGCAGUAGUUCUCCCUGUGCCGCCUUAGCCGAUAUAGCGGAACGUAAGGCAGCAAAACAUGGGAGCCGGGCAAACCCAAUAUUUGAACCAAGACAUGAUUCAGAGCUGAUGCAUAUAAUGCUAUAAGUUCGGGGUGCCGAACUUCCAUGAAGGUGUUCGGGCUUUAUUGCCGUAUUAUGGGUAAAAUGAAGCCCCUGGCAUAUUUAAGGCAUAUCACGGUGUACGGAUGCCGCUCAAUAAGAAAUAACAGCAGAUAAGCGUCAUAUAAAUCCAUAUGUUGUAUUUGAAUAGUACGUCGAUGCGUAUGAGUACAAGUAAAAAAAAAGAAAUACAACUGUGGAACCUACUGAGACCAGGGGGAAGAAGCCGUGUGCGGAUCCGGAGUAUAGUCGGAUGGUCAUCGCGGGGAAUAUCUAAGGAUUCCCCUGCAUGUUCGAGCUGCUUCCAUAUCACCAGUCCUGGUCUGCGCGAAGGUGAGCCUGCAAAGAAAAUGUAAGAAAUGUUUGUGUGCCGCAGAGCGGUUGAGCCGCGGUAUGUGGCCUGUCCUGGCCUUUGCCGGAGUGUUUAAUUAAGCUCUGGACUAGCCGGGCUAUCCUGCCGCGAAGUAGUCCGGAGUCCUUUGGCGGUGUCCGGGAGCCUGGCCGUCGACUCGAGGUUCGAAUGAAAGGUGCCACCCGUUGCUUCUGCUGUUAAAGCAGCGGUAUACUCCUUGGUGCCGUGGGGAAGUUCAGCCUUGCCAUUAACCGUGAUGACGCCGCGCGGACCGAGCACCUUGAGCUUACGGUAGGCGUAAUGUGGCACCGCGUUGAAUCGAGCGAACGCGGUUCGUCCGAGCAGUGCCUGAUAAUCACUGCGAAAGGGGACGAUGUCGAAGAUUAACUCUUCGGCACGGUAAUUGUCUGGUGAUCCGAAGACUACCUCGAGGGUGAUGGAGCCUGUACAGCUAGCCUCCACACCUGGUAUAAUGCCUCUGAAGGUGGCUUUAGUGGGCUUGAUCACCGAAUGAUCGAUGCCCAUCUUGCGCACUGUGUCCUGGUAAAGCAGGUUUAGACUGUUGCCUCCGUCCAUAAGGACUCGUGUGAGGUGGAACCCGUCAAUGAUUGGGUCGAGGACUAGUGCGGCUGGAUUGCCCUGAUUGGUGUUAACCGGAUGAUCCGUGCGGUUGAAGGUGAUCGGCCCUAGUUUAUAUUGUGGGACGACUGGUUCCGUUAAGUCGACAUCCCUAAGGGUGCGCAUCCGGUCCGGGUUGGGAGUGUGGGUGUCGUUUACCACGUUCACCGUUUGUAUUUGCGGGGGAAAUUUCUUUUGCCCUCCUGUAUUCGGUGAUCUGGGCUCCUCGUCGCCAUCAUCACUUUGAGACCCCUUAUCUUUGUUUUUGGUGCCUGACCUGCCGGCUUGUUUGAAGACCCAGCAUUCUCUGUUGGUAUGAUUGGCUGGUGUUCUUGGGGUGCCAUGAAUUUGGCAUGGGCGGUCGAGUAUGCGGUCCAGACUGGACGGACCCGAAUUGUCAUUUUUGAGUGGCCCUUUCCGCUGACCGGACUUAGGGCCACUAAAUCCGGCAUUGACUGCCGUAUCUUCGGCGUUUUCACCAUUUUUGCGGCGCUUGUGUUUGUUGCGUCGGGGUUUGCCGUUGCUAUCUCUGGCCUCUGAUGUGCCAGGGUUGCUUGUUGUGUUGUUGCUACGGGCCAACCAGCUAUCUUCGCCCGUGCAAAAGCGGGUCAUGAGUGUCGUGAGGGCUGCCGUAGAUUUUGGCUUCUCUUGGCCGAGAUGUCGGGCGAGCCACUCAUCACGGAUGUUAUGUUUAAAGGCCGCUAGGGCUUCGGCAUCCGGACAGUCGAAAAUUUGGUUCUUUUUAGUUAGGAACCGAGUCCAGAAUUUCCUGGCUGACUCUCCGGGCUGUUGUGUUAUGUGACAUAAAUCUUCAGCAUCCGGUGGUCGCACAUAAGUGCCCUGGAAGUUGUCCAGGAAUGCGUCUGCCAGGUUCUCCCAACUUCCGAUGGAGUUUGCCGGCAAGCUAUUCGGCCAAUGCCGAGCCGGCCCUUUGAGUUUUAGUGGGAGAUACUUGAUGGCAUGUAGAUCAUCCCCGCGGGCCAUGUGAAUGUGGAGGAAGAAAUCCUCUAUCCAUACCGCGGGGUCUGGAGUACCAUCGUAUGAUUCAAUGCUCACGGGUUUAAACCCUUCUGGGAAUUCAUGAUCCAUUACUUCAUCAGUGAAGCAUAGGGGGUGUGCGGCGCCUCUGUGCUUGGCUAUAUCACGACGCAGUUCAUACGAGUCUUGUCUGCUGUGUUCGGCCCGGCCGGAUUUGCUUUUAGUAUAUCCGGCGUGACGGUCGUCGUCACGCGUUGGGGCGCGCCCCCGUGACCCGUAGAUCGAUCUUUUAUGUCCUGUUUUGUUGUCCAAUACGUCUCGCAGGUCCUGCGUGUUGCCCCGGGCCUUGGUGUUUUUGUUUGAUUGGCGACGGGGUGCGGGCUGGGCUUCGGUCUGAUAUGCCGCUUUGUCUCGGCCACGAGGUGGCCGGUCAGCCGCAUUAUACGCUGGUAGUGUAGGCUUUAAUGCUUCCUCCUCGAGUUGGGGUAGCAACCUGCGCUUUGGGUAACUUUUGGUUGGGCGCUCGAGUUCGUAUUCCUCGGCCGCCAGGACCUCGGUCCAUCUAUCCGCUAGCAGAUCUUGGUCAGCUUGAAGCUGUUGUUGCUUUUUCUUCAGGCUUUUUGCUAUGGCUAUAAGCCGGCGCUUGAAGCGCUCCUGCUCGACGGGAUCCUCAGGCACGAUAAAUUCUUCGUCGCCGAGGCUCACCUCGUUUUCGGACAGUGACAUGUAAUUGUCAUCCUCUGAUUCUUCGUCUGCUGCCUGUUUCUUAGGGCUAGCUUGCCAAUCCUCCCGCUCGAAACCUGGCUGGAGGGGAUUGUCUUCGUCUUCGGCACUAUCCGCAGCGUUAUUAUCUCUUGUGCCGGUAUCGCUGCUUUUGCUAUGGCGGGGCUUAGAGCGGCGCCGAUGACGCCGGUGCCUAGAUUGCUUCUCGGGGGGAGUAUCCUCCGUUGCCUUAUUGCCAUCGCUUUCUUUGGGGGUGUCCACCAUGUAUAUAUCAUAUGAUGAGGUGGCAGUCCAGCGCCCUGUGGGCGGUGGUUCCUGUUCUUCUCCUGCAUCGUCGUCCAUACCGUCGAUGUCUUCGGAGACGAAAUCGAGCAUGUCGGUUAAGUCGUCGACAGUGGCUACUAAGUGGGUGGUGGGUGGGGAACGAAUUUCUUCGUCGUCCGCUUCCCACUCAAGCCGGACAUAGUUUGGCGAAGGGUCUCCUGACAAGGAGAGAGACCUUAAUGAAUUUAGUACGUCGCCCAGGGGCGAGUGCUGAAAGAUAUCCGCGGAGCAAAACUCCAUGAUCGGUGCCCAAUUAGAUUCAAUAGGCACGGAUGCAGUCGGUUCGGAGCCCGUGGCCGGGGACGAAUCCAAGUGUCCGGCAACACAGGUCUCAUAGGAGGUGAAGUCAGUAUUCGGCUCUAUCGCCGCUGAGUGUGCGGCCUCCGUGGCGGGGUCCAUCCAUCCAUCCUCGAACGACGUGAUCUGCUCCGGAUUGAGGGCCGGAGUGGCCACAGGUGUGAUCUCCCGAACACCGUCCGACGGCAGAGCUAAGUCAUGCUCAUCGUGACUGUGCGGUGCACCUGACAUGGGCUCGAAUCCGUCGAAGAUCAAGUCUCCGCGGAUGUCGGCAGUAUAGUUCAAGCUUCCAAACCUGACCUGAUGGCCAGGGGCGUAGCUCUCGAUCUGCUCCAGAUGGCCAAGCGAGUUGGCCUGCAGUACGAAGCCGCCGAAUACGAAGAUCUGUCCAGGGAGGAAAACCUCACCCUGGAUCGCAUCGUUGCCGAUGAUUGAAGGGGCCCUCAAGCCUUUAUCGUGACAGCACAGUGGAACUCUUAAUGAAAGCACCAAUGUCGGUGUCAAAACCGGCAGAUCUCGGGUAGGGGGUCCCGAACUGUGCGUCUAAGCCGGAUGGUAACAGGAGGCGGGGGACACAAUGUUUACCCAGGUUCGGGCCCUCUCGAUGGAGGUAAUACCCUACUUCCUACUUGAUUGAUCUUGAUGAUAUGAGUUUUACAAGAGUUGAUCUACCACGAGAUCGUAGAGGCUAAACCCUAGAAGCUGGCCUAUGAUUAUGAUUGUUGUUCUACGGACUAAACCCUCUGGUUUAUAUAGACACCGGAGGGCGCUAGGGUUACACAGAGUCAGUUACAAGGGAGGAGAUUGCUACCUCUUGAGCACUGCGUUGGUUUUCCCUUGAAGAGGAAAGGGUGAUGCAGCAAAGUAGCGUAAGUAUUUCCCUCAGUUUUUGAGAACCAAGGUAUCAAUCCAGUAGGAGGCUAUGCGUGAGUCCCUCGCACCUACACAAAACAAAUAAAUCCUCGCAACCAACGCGAUAAGGGGUUGUCAAUCCCUACACGGCCACUUACGAGAGUGAGAUCUGAAAGAUAUGAUAGGAUAAUAUUUUUGGUAUUUUUAUGAUAAAGAUGCAAAGUAAAAUAAAAGCAAAGUAAAAAGCAAAGGAAAUAACUAAGUGUUGGAAGAUUAAUAUGAUGGAAAAUAGACAUGGGGGCCAUAGGUUUCACUAGUGGCUUCUCUCAAGAGCAUAAGUAUUUUACGGUGGGUGAACAAAUUACUGUUGAGCAAUUGACAGAAUUGAGCAUAGUUAUAAGAAUAUCUAGGUGUGAUCAUGUAUAUAGGCAUCACGUCCGAGACAAGUAGACCGACUCCUGCCUGCAUCUACUACUAUUACUCCACACAUUGACCGCUAUCCAGCAUGCAUCUAGAGUAUUAAGUUCAUAAGAACAGAGUAACGCCUUAAGCAAGAUGACAUGAUGUAGAGGGAUAAAUUCACGCAAUAUGAUAAAAACCCCAUCUUGUUAUCCUCGAUGGCAACAAUACAAUACGUGCCUUGCUGCCCCUAUUGUCACUGGGACAGGACACCGCAAGAUUGAACCCAAAGCUAAGCACUUCUCCCAUUGCAAGAAAGAUCAAUCUAGUAGGCCAAACCAGACUGAUAAUUCGAAGAGACUUGCAAAGAUAACCAAUCAUACAUAAAAGAAUUCAGAAGAUUCAAAUAUUGUUCAUAGAUAAACUUGAUCAUAAACCCACAAUUCAUCGGUCUCAACAAACACACCGCAAAAGAAGAUUACAUCGAAUAGAUCUCCACGAGAGAGGGGGAGAACAUUGUAUUGAGAUCCAAAAAGAGAGAAGAAGCCAUCUAGCUAAUAACUAUGGACCCGAAGGUCUGAGGUAAACUACUCACACAUCAUCGGAGGGGCUAUGGUGUUGAUGUAGAAGCCCUCCGUGAUCGAUGCCCCCUUCGGCGGAGCUCCGGAACAGGCCCCAAGAUGGGAUCUCGUGGGUACAGAAGGUUGCGGCGGCGGAAUUAGGUUUUUGGCUCCGUAUCUGAUCGUUUGGGGGUACGUAGGUAUAUAAAGGAGGAAGGACUACGUCGGUGGAGCAACAGGGGGCCCACGAGGGUGGAGGGCGCGCCUGGGGGGGGGGGGGGUAGGCGCGCCCCUACCUCGUGGCCUCCUCCUUUAUUUCUUGACGUAGGGUCCAAGUCUCCUGGAUCAUGUUCGUUCCAAAAAUCACGUUCCUGAAGGUUUCAUUCCGUUUGGACUCCGUUUGAUAUUCCUUUUCUGCGAAACUCUGAAAUAGGCAAAAAACAACAAUUCUGGGCUGGGCCUCCGGUUAAUAGGUUAGUCCCAAAAAUAAUAUAAAAGUGAAUAAUAAAGCCCAAUAAUGUCCAAAACAAAAGAUAAUAUUAGCAUGUAGCAAUCAAAAAUUAUAGAUACAUUGGAGACGUAUCAAGCAUCCCCAAGCUUAAUUCCUGCUCGUCCUCGAGUAGGUAAAUGAUAAAAACAGAAUUUUUGAUUCGGAGUGCUACUAGGCAUAAUUUCAAUGUAAUUCUUCUCAUUGUGGCAUGGAUGUUCAGAUUUGAUAUGAUUCAAGAUAAAAGUUUAAUAUUGACAUAAAAACAAUAAUACUUCAAGCAUACUAACUAAGCAAUUAUGUCUUAUCAAAAUAACAUUGCCAAAGCAAGUUAUCCCUACAAAAUCAUAUAGUCUGGCUAUGCUCCAUCUUCCCCACACAAAGUAUUCAUAUCAUGUACGACCCCGGUUUUAGCCAAGCAAUUGGUUCAUACUUUUAACGCGCUGCAGUCUUUUCAACUCUUACGCAAUACAUGAGCGCAAGCCAUGGAUAUAGCACUAUGGUGGAAUAAGGUAUAAUGGUAGGGGUUAUGUGGGAAGACAAAAAAAGGAGAAAGUCUCACAUCAACGAGGCUAAUCAACGGGCUAUGGAGAUGCCCAUCAAUCGAUGUUAAUGCGAGGAGUAGGGAUUGCCAUGCAACGGAUGCACUAGAGCUAUAAGUUUAUGAAAGCUCAAAAAGAAACUAAGUGGGUGUGCAUCCAACUUGCUUGCUCACGAAGACCUCGGGCAUUUUGAGGAAGCCCAUCAUUGGAAUAUACAAGCCAAGUUCUAUAAUGAAAUUUCCCACUAGUAUAUGAAAGUGACAAAAUGAGAGACUCUCUAUUAUGAAGAUUACGGUGCUACUUUGAAGCACAAGUGUGGUAAAAGGAUAGUAACAUUAUCCCUUCUCUCUUUUUCUCUCUUUUUUCAUUUUUUUAUUUGGGCCUUUUCUCUCUUUUUUAUGGCCUCUUUUUUUUUAGUCCGGAGUCUCAUCCCGACUUGUGGGGGAAUCAUAGUCUCCAUCAUCCUUUCCUCAGUUGGGACAAUGCUCUAAUAAUGACGAUCAUCACACAUUUAUUUUACUUACAACUCAUGAAUUACAACUCAAUACUUAGAACAAAACAUGACUCUAUAUGAAUGCCUCCGGUGGUGUACCGGGAUAUGCAAUGAAUCAAGAGCGACAUGUAUGAAAGAAUUAUGAACGGUGGCUUUGCCACAAAUACAAUGUCAACUACAUGAUCAUGCAAAGCAAUAUGACAAAGAUGAAGUAUGUCAUGAUAAAUGAAACGGUGGAAAGUUGCAUGGCAAUAUAUCUCGGAAUGGCUUUGGAAAUGCCAUGAUAGGUAGGUAUGGUGGCUGUUUUGAGGAAGAUAUAAGGAGGUUUAUGUGUGAUAGAGCGUAUCAUAUCACGGGGUUUGGAUGCACCGAAGUUUGCACAAACUCUCACGGUGAGAAAGGGCAAUGCAUGGUACCGAAGAGGCUAGAAAAUUGCGGAAAGGUAAGUGUGCGUAUAAUCCAUGGACUCACAUUAGUCAUAAAGAACUCAUAUACUUAUUGCAAAAAUUUAUUAGCCCUCGAAGCAAAGUACUACUACGCAUGAUCCUAGGGGAAGGGUUGGUAGGAGUUAACCAUCGCGCGAUCCCGACCGCCACACAAAGGAAGACAAUCAACAAAUACUUCAUGCGCCGACUUCGUUACAUAACGGUUCACCAUACGUGCAUGCUACGGGAAUCACAAACUCCAACACAUGUAUUUUUCAAUUCCACAAUUACUCAACUAGCACAACUAUGAUAUUACCACCUUCAUAUCUCAAAACAAUUAUCAAGCAUCAAAUUUCUCAUGAUAUUAAUUAAAUCAAAUUGCCAUGCUAUUUUUAGACUCUCAAAAUAAUAUAAGUGAAGCAUGAGAGAUCAAUAGUUUCUAUAAAACAAAUCCACCACCGUGCUCUAAAAGAUAUAAGUGAAGCACUAGAGCAAAACUAUAUAGCUCAAAAGAUAUAAGUGAAGCACAUAGAGUAUUCUAAUAAUUUCCGAAUCAUGUGUGUCUCUCUCAAAAGGUGUGUACAGCAAAGAUGAUUGUGGUAAACUAAAAAAUAAA
rnacentral:lncRNA from 1 species